GAUGAACGCUGGCGGCGUGCCUAAUACAUGCAAGUCGAGCGAACAGACGAGGAGCUUGCUCCUCCGACGUUAGCGGCGGACGGGUGAGUAACACGUGGAUAACCUACCUAUAAGACUGGGAUAACUUCGGGAAACCGGAGCUAAUACCGGAUAAUAUAUUGAACCGCAUGGUUCAAUAGUGAAAGACGGUUUUGCUGUCACUUAUAGAUGGAUCCGCGCCGCAUUAGCUAGUUGGUAAGGUAACGGCUUACCAAGGCGACGAUGCGUAGCCGACCUGAGAGGGUGAUCGGCCACGCUGGAACUGAGACACGGUCCAGACUCCUACGGGAGGCAGCAGUAGGGAAUCUUCCGCAAUGGGCGAAAGCCUGACGGAGCAACGCCGCGUGAGUGAUGAAGGUCUUCGGAUCGUAAAACUCUGUUAUUAGGGAAGAACAAAUGUGUAAGUAACUAUGCACGUCUUGACGGUACCUAAUCAGAAAGCCACGGCUAACUACGUG
rnacentral:rRNA from 1 species